GUGGCGGCGGCGCUGAGGGGGACGCGGCGGCGGAGCGGGUAACUGUCACCGGCCGCGGCCGUUUGUGUCCGCCCGAGCGCCGACAGCCCCAAGGCCUGCCAGCCUCAGGAGAUCCCUGGAAAAGGAUCCAGCCUGGAUUCUCUGGGAAUGGAGAGCCACAGGGAGAUUCAUCUGCUUGGAAACCUGACGUGUCCCAGUUAUUUUUUAUCUUUAUAUUUGCAAACUCCAGCAAUCUAAACAAACAAUUCUGUUUUGUCUUCGGGGUGACCUGACCCACUUUGGGAGCAGCAGCUCCUGCUCUGAAGCCUCCAUGAGGUGCUGCUGUUGGGAUUGGUGCUGGAAAAUCAUGGAAAAGAGGAAUUCCUGCUCUGCACAAGCUCAGGCAGGAGGUGAUGCCAGGGAGAGCCACCAGCCGAGAAACUUCGAGAGAACUGAGGCCUGGAGAUUCUCCAGGGGGUUAUUCCAGCCCCAAAGCACCCAAGAUGGGAAGAGGCAGAGCCCCAGCAGGGCCAGGCAGGGAGCCCCAGCCCCUCUGACUUGGUGCAGCUUUCAGGGAAAGGUGGGGACUCCGGGAAUGGGGCUGCUGCUGUUGGAUCGGUGCUGGGAAAUCGUGGAAAACCGGAAUUCCUGCUCUGCCACAGGCUCGGGGCAGGGGUUAAUGGGGUUCUUUGCCCCAAAGAGUGCUGGAGCCCAUCAGAACGGACCCGUUUAACCGUGCAGGCAGAGCGGGAUCGGUCCCAGCUUUGCCCACAUUCCUGAGAUUUCUCCUUUCGCCUGAGUCACCGAGCAGGGAUCGGCUUCACAAUUGUUUUGUGUAACGUCACCACAGCGUCACCAGCAGAGACAUCAGAAAG